GCAAGUCGCACGAGAACGUUUCAGCUUGCUGAAACUAGUAAAGUGGCGAACGGGUGAGUAACGCGUGGGUAAUCUACCUCCGAAUUGGGGAUAACAUUGCGAAAGCGAUGCUAAUACCGAAUGACAUCUCAAUCACUCCGGGUUUUUGAGAUCAAAGGUGGCCUCUCCAUGGAAGCUACUGUUUGGAGAUGAGCCCGCGUACCAUUAGCUUGUUGGUAGGGUAAUGGCCUACCAAGGCGACGAUGGUUAGCUGGUCUGAGAGGAUGAUCAGCCACACUGGAACUGACACACGGUCCAGACUCCUACGGGAGGCAGCAGUGAGGAAUUUUGCGCAAUGGGGGAAACCCUGACGCAGCAACGCCGCGUGAGUGAUGAAGGCUCUCGGGUCGUAAAGCUCUGUCAAGUGAGAAGAACCUGCCUUUUGCUAAUAUCACUGGGCACUGACGGUAUCACUGAAGGAAGCACCGGCUAACUCCGUG
rnacentral:rRNA from 1 species